rnacentral:rRNA from 1 species
UACGUAGGUGGCAAGCGUUGUCCGGAUUUAUUGGGUUUAAAGGGUGCGUAGGCGGCCCUGUAAGUCAGUGCUGAAAUAUCCCGGCUUAACCGGGAGGGUGGCAUUGAUACUGCAGGGCUUGAGUACAGAUGAGGUAGGCGGAAUUGACGGUGUAGCGGUGAAAUGCAUAGAUAUCGUCAAGAACACCGAUAGCGAAGGCAGCUUACUAAGCUGUAACUGACGCUGAGGCACGAAAGUGUGGGGAUCAAACAGGAUUAGAUACCCCCGUAGUCC